rnacentral:lncRNA from 1 species
CUGUGCUGAGUUUUUCAAAGGCCAGAGCAGAUUGAACCUUUGUGAUUUCAUUUUCCCUGAUUUUGAUUUUUCUUAUGGGGAACCUGUGUUCCUGCAUUCGAGCCUCUGAGGAGUCUCUAGUUCACAAGGACAGAGGAGAUGGAGAGAGGCCGGUCAACGCGAGGGUGGUGCAGGCGGCCCCUCUGAGGUUUGGCUCUACUCCCUGUGGGGACGCUGUACAAGACAUCGCUAAUGCUUAAAGGGAUCUCCUGGGGUGAGUGAGGAGGUGGGAUCGGACCCUGGCAAUCUGACAACAACACCUGUGUUCCUUUGCACUGGGCCAUGGAUGACAUUACACACCUUUGUGAGAAUCAGGAAUUACACACCUUUGUGAGAAUCUGCAUCUGGAAUUGAGCUCGCUCAUUGGACAGGAUAGACUGGGCAUCCAGGCCUCAAG